rnacentral:rRNA from 1 species
GGUUCGAUUAUGGCUCAGAUUGAACGCUGGCGGGAUGCUUUACACAUGCAAGUCGAACGGCGGCGUGGAACCGGUCUGGUGGCGAGUGGCGAACGGGUGAGCAAUGUAUCCAGACGUGCCUAGUGGCAGGGGAUAACUACGCCGCACGAAAGCGUAGCUAAUGCCGCAUACGCCCUUCGAAGAGAAAGCAGGGGACCUUCGGGCCUCUGCCUAUUAGAGCGGCCGAUAUCGGAUUAGCUAGUUGGUGGGGUAACGGCUCACCAAGGCGACGAUCCGUAGCUGGUUCGAGAGGACGACCAGCCACACUGGGACUGAGACACGGCCCAGACUCCUACGGGAGGCAGCAGUGGGGAAUUUUGGACAAUGGGGAAACCCUGAUCCAGCCAUCCGCGUGUGCGAUGAAGGCCUUCGGGUUGUAAAGCACUUUUGGCAGGAAAGAAGCGGCACGGGAUAAUACCCCGUGCAACUGACGAAAACACCUGCAGAAUAAGCACCGGCUAACUACGUGCCAGCAGCCGCGGUAAUACGUAGGGUGCAAGCGUUAAUCGGAAUUACUGGGCGCUAAAGCGUGCGCAGGCGGUUCCGGAAGAAAGAUGUGAAAUCCCAAGAGCUUAACUUUGGAACUGCAUUUUUAACUACCGAGCUAGAGUGUCAGAGGAAGUGGAAUUCACACACUGUGUAGCAGUGAAAUGCGUAGAUAUGCGGAAGAACACAAAUGGCGAAGGCAGCCUCCUGGAAUGCCACUGACGCUCAUGCGAAAGCGGCAGGAGCAAACAGGAUUAGAUACCCUGGUAGUCCACGCCCUAAACGAUGUCAACUAGCUGUUGGGGCCUUCGGGCCUUGGUAGCGCAACUAACGCGUGAAGUUGACCACACGCCUGGGGAAACCUGGUCGCAAGAUUAAAACUCAAAGGAAUUGACGGGGACCCGGCGGUGGAUGAUGUGGAUUAAUUCGAUGCAACGCGAGCCUUACCUACGCCAGAGCAUCAUCUGGAAUCCAGAGAUUUGGGGAGUGCUCGCAAGAGAACCGGAACACAGGUACUGCAUGGCUGUCGUCAGCUCGUGUCGUGAGAUGUUGGGUUAGUCCGCAGCAGCAGGCGCAGCCCUUGUCAUUAGAUUUGCUACGAAAGGGCACUCUGGCCGAGACUGCCGGUGACAAACCGGAGGAAAGGUGGGGAUGACGUCGAUCCUCUUGGCUUUAUCGGUGCGGGCUUCACACGUCAUACAAUGGUCUAAGGCAGAGGGUCGCCAACCCCCGCGAGGGGGAGCCAAUCCCGAAAGCCCGAUCGUAGUCCAGGAUCUGCGUCUGCAAUGACUGCGUGAAGUCGGAAUCGCUAGUAAUCGCGGAUCAGCAUGUCGCGGUGAAUACGUUCCCGGGUCAUGUACCACACCGCCCGUCACACCAUGCGGAGUGGGUUUUACCAGAAGUGGUCGCCUAACCGUAAGGAGGCGAUUACCACGGUAGGAUUCAUGACUGGGGUGAAGUCGUAACAAGGUAA